CUUGUGCCUUCGUUAAAAGUCAAUUCAUCUUUGACAUGUUUUACUUCUCAGUUGUUCCUGGAGGAAGCUCGCAUUCUGUCGAAUAUAUGACAGGGCCUGUUCCUGUCAUCGUUUUCCGCUGGUCUGUCAUUGUGGAAAUCCCACGAGAUUUAGAAGAACCUCUGACGACAGUGUUUUUGCUGGCGUGAAACAAAUCACUUAAAUACGUAGCUCCUUCACAAACUGUCGGAUAGAAACUCUUCUGGGACUCAGAUCGUCUUUCCGUAUCACCAACUUUCUUAAGAGUCCCCGACAACGUCUGCCCGUAAAGCCCUUCACAGACACUCACACCGUGUCCCAGUUCCGUAGAUAGCCUUUUUUUUGGGCUGCCGGUUCCACUAUUGAUUUCCCAAUUCGUGCUACCCUCCUUCGCAAGACAUGUCGCUUCCUGGAGGUCCGCUUGGCAUUCCUGGACGAGCGAGCGAGGACAAGACGGGAACGGCCACUGAGUUCCACAAGGAAAGCCCAGGGCGACUGUCUCCCCAAGCCAGCCACAAAUGGCGUCCUCACUGCGCAAGUCUACUUCUUUCUCUCUAUUUUUUUGUCAUUCUGGUAGUUCUCCCUUCUCGCAUGUCUGACAAUUUCUCUUCAACCAGGGCUUUCAUGGCUGAGGCAGCCAGCAGUGGAUCUCGGGGGCGUGUCGACCUGGAUUCUGUGAAAGUUGAUGGUGAUGAGAAGACGGCAGCAACUGCAUCGACGCUCUCUGGUGCCCACAAUGAGACAGUGGACAAUAUUGUGAAAGGAGGUGGAGUACCGAGGGGCCAGGAUACCGACAUAAUGCCUCGUGCAACGAUCACAUCGCGAAGCACAAAGUUUUCUUCGCGCGUCGCAUUCCGUCGGACUGGGAUAUUAGCGAUGACAUUCGUCGCCAGUCUGGCUGCAGCUGGUGCGGUUGUCGCUUUGUUGACUCUGAAACGGUCCAAGCAGAAGACAAGGGAUAUGCAGCCACCGUCCGCUGGUGCCUGGACGUAAGUCGCAUGCGUGACACGCACAGAUGUCGUCUCGUUGAGGUGGCGGCCUGCUUGCACACACAGAGAAUCAGGCAAAAAGGCAAAGUGGUACCAGAACACUUUCACUGUCUUUGGACUUUCUUUCGAUGGGUCGCAUCUGCCUAGCCAAAUCUCGUGGGCUUGAAGCAGAGUCGCGGAACGGUCCGUGUGUAUUAACACGUGGAAAAGUGCAGCCAAUAGACGCUGAGCACAUCAUGGUCUCAAUUUAGUCAUGCAAUAAAGGGUUACAAUAGUGAAGCUGCAAUCACCUGACAUUUAUGGCCCCAAUCAGAAUACAAGUAAGGCAAAGCGUGUCCAGAAGCAGUAGGGCAAACUGACCUACCGUCGCGUUCUGUGUUGCUGGGGAUUGGGAAAAAGGGCAUCCUCGGCUGGCUAGAUGUAGAAAGGGAUCCCUUGUCACUUUUGUGGUUUUGGCGCUGAGGUUGAGGUUCUGAGUGUAACAUCCCAGCAGGCAGAUAUCAAGUAAUUCUACAUACCCGAGAACACUAGGCACCGCCUAGAUUGGCGACUGGGUUCGACACCCGAGGCACCCGAAGCAGAGCCAGCAGAGCUGAAGGUUGUUUUUGGAUUGGCGGUCGUUGGCGCCAUUGCACUACUAGUACGUUUUCCUGCAGGCUGUUGGAGAGUCUUCUCAUUGUUUCUUUACUUCGAAGACAGCAGGGCACCUGUAGGAAACUAAGUCUCCAACUAUUUCGUGGGUCGCUGCGGCGGCGUUGUAUCAAUAGGUAGCUGCAUUGUCUCCUUGCUUUUUUUUUAUCUCCAUGCGUCCAAGAUCGUUCGCUCAUCACUUCACAGAAUAACGUUUUUAUGCAGCUGGGCUAUCACCGUAGGGCUAUCCACUGCGCGGGACUACUGCUUGCAUGCUCCACGGCAUCAUCCCGCGCCCCCGAAGGUUACUGACUUACUCACGCUUCCGAUUCAUCCUACUGGAGUGCUACAGUACUUCAGCACAGUAAGCGUUAAGGAUGCAGAUGUAUAUUUUGAAGUUAUUUUUUGGAAGGGGUCAGCGGCGGAAGAGCUUCUCGGCCAGCAGCCACCCAACAAAGCAAAAAUUCGACUCACGCAGCGAACGCUGGGGCUCGCUGACCCUGAUUCAAACUAAGAGCAUUGCGCGGGGGAUGAAGGCUUCCAGCAGCUGGGGUGGUCCCGGUUGAUCGGUUCCGCCUCAAGCACUGCAGGAAUAUCUUGACCAACGACCGCCUCAUGCGUGCAAAAGGGACCAUGUGGCACUUAUGUUUGUUUAAAUGAGUGUUGAUAAGACGCUGCUCACGUGUCACUCAUAUGAACUGAAGUUAACAGUUCAUAGCAAAACUGGAGCUUCUUCCAGGUGCCAGAAGUACUUUUACGAGCCGUGCGGGGGACGGGAUCAGAAGCAGCAUUCUCGUAGUUUUGCCGUCGCUGCCACUCGCGGCCAAAAGCGGAUCUUGAGAACGCACGAAUUGUUUUGUUCUAGAGAGCCGUUUUUCGCGGUUGACCGGGACCCUCACUUUGUUGACAGGCAGCGAGUGGCAUUCUGGCUUUUCUUCUUCUGAGAGGUGUCGUUUCUGCGAGCACAGGCGUGCUGAUGUGCGCCGGCUCGAGCAUGACGACGCUUUGCGCGUCUGAUGGCAUGAAAAAGACGCGUUGCAACGGGAACAGGAUAACGCGAUUGUAGAGGAUUCCGAUCAGAUGUAUGAGCGUUUCGUCUUACCCGUUCGUAGAUUCGUUGGAGAUAGAAGCGUACAUAUCGUAUGCUGGUACUUGUCUGCCAUAUAGUUACGUGCCUAGUAGGAAAAAGUACCAUUGAGGCUUCUGUUCCAGCAGGGCGGGCGCUACUUACACAACUUCCGCAGGUUGCAGAUUUGUGAUAGAGAGCCACUUCCAUUUCUUACUUGUGGCGUGUCUCUCUUUCGGGCAACACUAACGCCAGUUGGAGGCCACCGAUCAUUCGAGGGGUUCUCUGGUUUGCAAGUAGGAAAUAAGCGCCUCAGCUAUUUUGAUUGUCAGUGGAUGUGGACACUUUUACUAUCUGAUUCGUGGAAGUGGACGAUCGUAUAAUGAGGCGUCAAUGGGAGUGGCUUAGGACUCUACGAGCUUACUGAUCACUGGUGUGGAGACGGAUGGCUGCACGCUGGGUGUUCGCGAGCCACUGCUGACGUCGGCCUUGAAAGGGGACUGGGGAUCAGCGGAAUCACUUUGGACAACAAAGGCAGAGCGAAUGCUGGCCUGGUAGGCGACGGAUGGUUGGCCGAGCCAUGGAGGACAUAAUGAAAUCAAGUGAGGGGACCUUUUUUGGAUGUCUCCAGACGCAGCCAGUAAGUGUCCAUAUCCUGGUUAUGUUGUGCACUGUCUUGUUACUUCACCUGGCCAUGUGGCUAGGUGUGCCAGAUUGUGUGCCACCCCGUCUGGAUAUCGGCCGAUUUAGGGCUCCGGAACAUUGGCGCAGGCAUUAAGAAACGUGUGUCAGAAGGAAGCACGAAGUCUCUCAUUGCCACGUAUCAGUAUGGUCUCCGUUCAGGAUUCACCAUUAUACACUGUGUUUCCAGGCAAGAGUACAUGCUGCGCCAGCAGACUCCGACUGCCAGGGUUGUAAAGGACGCAUGUUGGGGUGCAGAGGUAGCAACACAC
rnacentral:lncRNA from 1 species